AUUGAACGCUGGCGGCAGGCCUAACACAUGCAAGUCGAACGAGUGGCGGACGGGUGAGUAAUGUCUGGGAAACUGCCUGAUGGAGGGGGAUAACUACUGGAAACGGUAGCUAAUACCGCAUACCAUCAGAUGUGCCCAGUUGGGAUUAGCGAGUUGGUGGGGUAACGGCUCACCAAGGCGACGAUCCCUAGCUGGUCUGAGGGGAUGACCAGCCACACUGGAACGGAGACACGGUCCAGACGCCUAAGUGAGGCAGCAGUGGGGAAUAUUGCAGAAGGGGCGCAAGCCUGAUGCAGCCAUGCCGCGUGUAUGAAGAAGGCCUUCGGGUUGUAAAGUACUUUCAGCGGGGAGGCGUUACCCGCAGAAGAAGCACCGGCUAACUCCGUGCCAGCAGCCGCGGUAAUAC
rnacentral:rRNA from 1 species